GGGGAUGUGGCUCAGUGGCAGAGCACUUGCCUAGCAUGUGUGAGGCUCUGGGUUUAAUCCCCAGCACCA
rnacentral:tRNA from 1 species